rnacentral:piRNA from 1 species
UGGAAAAAUAAACUUAAAUUC